rnacentral:rRNA from 1 species
ACUCCUACGGGAGGCAGCAGUAGGGAAUCUUCCACAAUGGGCGCAAGCCUGAUGGAGCAACACCGCGUGAGUGAAGAAGGGUUUCGGCUCGUAAAGCUCUGUUGUUAAAGAAGAACACGUAUGAGAGUAACUGUUCAUACGUUGACGGUAUUUAACCAGAAAGUCACGGCUAACUACGUGCCAGCAGCCGCGGUAAUACGUAGGUGGCAAGCGUUAUCCGGAUUUAUUGGGCGUAAAGAGAGUGCAGGCGGUUUUCUAAGUCUGAUGUGAAAGCCUUCGGCUUAACCGGAGAAGUGCAUCGGAAACUGGAUAACUUGAGUGCAGAAGAGGGUAGUGGAACUCCAUGUGUAGUGGUGGAAUGCGUAGAUAUAUGGAAGAACACCAGUGGCGAAGGCGGCUACCUGGUCUGCAACUGACGCUGAGACUCGAAAGCAUGGGUAGCGAACAGGAUUAGAUACCCUGGUAGGCUAGCG